CCUGGAGUCAGCACAGGAACUACUGUGAGAAAUGCAAAAGUCUGAAACCUCUAGAUUCGCCAGAUGAUCUAAUUGCUGCGAGAAGGAGCAGUAUCGGAACAAUAUAGAAUAAUACUAAUGUAUACGGAAGAUUCUUGGAGUCUCACCUCAUCUACCAGAAGAGUUUCCAAGGUGGAAAAUAAAUGCUAGUACAGCUAGCAGUACAGAGCUGCAAGAACCCUUUCUGUUUUUCUGAAAACGAGUCUAAGAAAGCUCUGCGGAGUCUCCAGCACAGUGCCUACUCUUUGUUUGAGGAAAACCAGAAAAUUGAGUAGAACUUGCAGAAAUAAUCUAAUUUACAUCACUCAAGACUUUUUACCUAGUACCGGUGGCAAACUGCACAAUAAUAAACACCAGAACUGAAGACUGUAAACCAUGCCAGUAUUUUGGGCCAAGGCUGGAGUGCUCAAGCAUCUAGCAAGCAGAUCAAGAGGAAUGUCACUGUGUGACCAAGGAGAGCUCAACCUCUGCUCUCAAAUUUGGCCACUGUUAAUGGCCUGUAAAACUUCUAAGCUGCCUCAAUGAGAACAAGCAACGCCAAGAAGAACAGGCCCAGCAGGGAGGGCUAUUCAGGCCAUAGCAGUUCUUGCCCUUAUUCGAACAGAACGGGUGCGGCUACAUGCAACCCACAGCGAACAGAACAUCUGAUGCAGAUAUGCCAUCUACAUAGCUGCCUGGAGAUCAUACAAAGCUGCAGAAGGAUACCCACUGUCCAUAAAAAGUUGCAUACCUUAAGUUAGAUGAUAGAAGCUACAACACUAAGCAUUGUUACAAAAUAUAGAGAGAGAGACUAAGAAC
ensembl:lncRNA